GAUGAACGCUGGCGGCGUGCCUAAUACAUGCAAGUCGAGCGAACGGAUGAGAAGCUUGCUUCUCUGAUGUUAGCGGCGGACGGGUGAGUAACACGUGGAUAACCUACCUAUAAGACUGGGAUAACUUCGGGAAACCGGAGCUAAUACCAGAUAAUAUUUUGAACCGCAUGGUUCAAAAGUGAAAGACGGUCUUGCUGUCACUUAUAGAUGGAUCCGCGCUGCAUUAGCUAGUUGGUAAGGUAACGGCUUACCAAGGCAACGAUGCAUAGCCGACCUGAGAGGGUGAUCGGCCACACUGGAACUGAGACACGGUCCAGACUCCUACGGGAGGCAGCAGUAGGGAAUCUUCCGCAAUGGGCGAAAGCCUGACGGAGCAACGCCGCGUGAGUGAUGAAGGUCUUCGGAUCGUAAAACUCUGUUAUUAGGGAAGAACAUAUGUGUAAGUAACUGUGCACAUCUUGACGGUACCUAAUCAGAAAGCCACGGCUAACUACGUG
rnacentral:rRNA from 1 species